UACGAAGGGGGCUAGCGUUGCUCGGAAUCACUGGGCGUAAAGCGCACGUAGGCGGCUUGUUAAGUCAGGGGUGAAAUCCUGGAGCUCAACUCCAGAACUGCCUUUGAUACUGGCGAGCUUGAGUUCGGGAGAGGUGAGUGGAACUGCGAGUGUAGCGGUGGAAUGCGCAGAUAUCAGGAAGAACACCAACGGCGAAGGCAGCUCGCUGGGACGGUACCGACGCUGAGACGCGAAAGCGUGGGGAGCGAACAGG
rnacentral:rRNA from 1 species